rnacentral:tRNA from 1 species
GGAGGGCUGGCAGAAUGGCUAUUGCAACGGUCUUGAAAACCGUCGUCCGCAAGGACUUGUGGGUUCGAAUCCCACGCCCUCCUC